rnacentral:rRNA from 1 species
CGUGUAGGCUGCUCGGAAAGUCGGAUGUGAAAGCCCUGGGCUCAACCUAGGAAGUGCAUUCGAAACUUCCAAGCUGGAGUGCUGGAGAGGAAGGCGGAAUUCUCGGUGUAGAGGUGAAAUUCGUAGAUAUCGAGAGGAACACCGGUGGCGAAGGCGGCCUUCUGGACAGUAACUGACGCUGAGACGCGAAAGCGUGGGGAGCAAACA